UCCUACGGGGGGCAGCAGUGAGGAAUAUUGGUCAAUGGGCUUACGCCUGAACCAGCCAAGUCGCGUGAGGGAAGACUGCCCUAUGGGUUGUAAACCUCUUUUGUCAGGGAGCAACGCCGGCUACGUGUAGCCGGACUGAGAGUACCUGAAGAAAAAGCAUCGGCUAACUCCGUGCCAGCAGCCGCGGUAAUACGUAGGUGGCAAGCGUUGUCCGGAUUUACUGGGUGUAAAGGGCGUGCAGCCGGAGAGACAAGUCAGAUGUGAAAUCCACGGGCUCAACCCGUGAACUGCAUUUGAAACUGUUU
rnacentral:rRNA from 1 species